GGACACAAUUGUGCCAAACGGACGUAUGCACCAAACGGAGAAAUCCCCGCUGGUGCCCUGAGCAUGUCCUUGAACCGGCACGCUGAGCGCUGGCGGGGGCUGGACAUUCAGAUAUUGAUCAUUCUUAACUGCCUUCGUUUGUCCAGUUGAUCUCAAGCUCCAGAUGUGUGAGUGCCAACGGCGCAUGUUAAUAACAUUGUGCAUGUUUUCCGCUUUCAGUCCUCUCUUUCUGCAUGUGUUUCAUGCAUCUUUCUGCAUUUAAAUGUGCUUCUGUUGACGCUCUCAGAGGCCCAACACCUCCUCAUCCACAGCCGGCGUCCAAAUGGCUGCUGCUGUUUAGGAAUUGCCUCUUUAUUGACGAAUGGACGCGGCCGAGGAGCCGGAGAGAGACCAAGUCCGAGGGCCUCAGAGACGGACGCGCGUCGUAAAGUCAGACUGCGGAGCCAGAGGACGUCCUCCGCCGGGACCUCCGAGAGCGGCUGCGCGUCGCCGAAAUGGAGAUCUCACCGCGCCUCGAGGCCUUUUAAAUGUUGAAUACGUGCUGAAGAGGCUGAGAGGCUUUCUCGUUUGGAUCUCCGCAGCAACUCGGUCAGGUGUCUCUCAGUAUCAGUGAUACCUCUGGUCACUCAGGGGGGGGACAUGGAAUAUGUAUUUAAUUACAUGAAUUAACGGGACGCCUCAGCAGGAUGAAGAGGGAUCGGCCGCGGCGGUGGCUCAGUGGCUCAAUGGUAGUUUGAUGACAUCGGCGCCGCGAGAUAACGCACCUCCUGACGCCUCGGCGGUGAAACAGAAGGCCGCUUCGCCGCGCCUGGUCUGCGCGGGUCGGUCGGCGCUCUCGUUGGCGACGGUCCGGGUCCUCGUGGCGUCCGGUUGGACGACGGCCAGCUGGUGACAUCUGACACGAUGGAAGGCCGACGGCAACUCAAGAAAGAUGGAGAGGCCUUCUGCUUUACCUGACUUUCAAAGAGGAAUCGUGGGAGACCUUCAGGAUCAGGACAUCGGUGCAUCCUCAG
ensembl:lncRNA